UCCUCUUAGGCCUAGAGUCAGUGGCUGGUACUACACACCAAGGAAUCUAUAACCCAGAAAUAUCCACACUGGAACAGUUAAUGAAAAACUGCAGCCUGUGGGAAAGACCUACACUGGAGAAAGACUUUAUGAAGGACUGUAUCCUUUGUGAAGGACUGUAUCUCAUGGGAGGGAUUCCCCCAUGCUAAAGCAAGGGAAAAGCAUGAGGGAGAGACAAAACCUUAUGAGCUGACCACAGAUCCCAUUUCCUGUCCUCCUGAACCAUUCAGGGGGAGGAGGUAGAAGAGUCAGGAGAGAAGUUGAGCCUGUGAAGAAGGGGGGAGGUGUUUUUUGUAUUUGUGCUUAUUUUCAAUUAUCCUAUACUAAAUUGGCAGUAAAUGAUUUCUAAAAGCUGAGUCUAUUUUGCCCAUGAUGGUCAUUAGAAAGUGAUCUCCACAUUCUUAUCUCAAACCACAAGCUUUUCACUGUAUUUUUCUCCUCCUCUCAUGUUGUCAAGAGAGAGCGAUGGAGCAGCAACUUGGUGGUCACCCAGGAACCAGCCAAGGGGACCAAGAAGAAGGAAGUUCUUGUCUUAGAGGACUUGUCCUACAGGCUACAGAAUCUAUAUUAGCCAGAGCCCUGGAUACUGACCUCAUUUGUAUGCUGAGCUUGAGAAUCACUGCUAGCAUGCAACUGCAAUAAGAGAGCCAAAAAAAUACAUCAUUUCCUCCACCCUCCCAAGUAAAGGCAUAAAACCCACAAAACCUUCUCUACCAACUCAUCUACUCUCUGAGCAAAUCCAAGCUCCUCAACACUCACUACAAAACCAGAUAUCCUCUCAUUCAACAAACUACUGCUCCACCUAAAACAAAAGCUGCUCACGACUCUACUUUCUUACAAGUCCUGAUCCUUUUCUAAUCCAUGACAAUGUAUCCCCAAAGCCUCAACAAACAGAGAUCCAUGUCUACCUUUCCAGCUAAGAGGCGUCACCCACACAAAAACCUUAUCUGGUUUCUUCAAGCUCCACCAAUAACAACAGUAUCCCAAA